UACAGAGGGUGCGAGCGUUAAUCGGAAUUACUGGGCGUAAAGCGCGCGUAGGCGGCUUUGCAAGUCGGGUGUGAAAUCCCCAGGCUUAACCUGGGAACUGCAUUCGAGACUGCAUUGCUAGAGUAUGGGAGAGGGAAGUGGAAUUUCCGGUGUAGCGGUGAAAUGCGUAGAUAUCGGAAGGAACAUCAGUGGCGAAAGCGACUUCCUGGACCAAUACUGACGCUCAUGUGCGAAAGCGUGGGGGGCAAACAGG
rnacentral:rRNA from 1 species